rnacentral:rRNA from 1 species
UACGAAGGGGGCUAGCGUUGCUCGGAUUGACUGGGCGUAAAGGGCGCGUAGGCGGUCCUGAUCGUCGGAUGUGAAAGGCCUGGGCUCAACCUGGGAACUGCAUCCGAUACGGCGGGACUGGAGUGUGGGAGAGGUUGGUGGAAUUCCCAGUGUAGAGGUGAAAUUCGUAGAUAUUGGGAAGAACACCGGUGGCGAAGGCGGCCAACUGGACCACAACUGACGCUGAGGCGCGAAAGCGUGGGGAGCAAACAGG